AAAAAUUUAAAUAAAAAUAUUAAAGUAGUAAUAGUUAAGUUCUUGAAAUUUAAAAAAUUUGGCGGUAUUUUAGUCUAUUCAGAGGAACCUGUUUUGUAAUCGAUAGUCCACGUUGUACCUUACUUAAAUUUAUUUUUUAGUUUAUAUAUCGUUGUUUAUAGAAUAUUUUAUAAAAAAAAUAAUUUUCUGAAAUUUUUAUAUAAAAAUAUAUCAGAUCAAGAUGUAGCUUAUAUUUAAGUUUAUAAUGGGUUACAAUAAAUUUAUUUUUGGAUAUAAAAUUUAAAUAUUUUAAUGAAAUUGGAUUUGAUAGUAAAUUUAUAUAGAUAAAUAAAUUGAUUUUAGCUCUAAAAUAUG
rnacentral:rRNA from 1 species